CAUAUAAUAGCUUAUACAAAGCAUUAAACUUUUAAUUUGAAGAUAAGAUUUUCUUUUAUAUGU
rnacentral:tRNA from 1 species